CCUACGGGUGGCAGCAGUGGGGAAUAUUGCACAAUGGGGGAAACCCUGAUGCAGCGACGCCGCGUGAGUGAAGAAGUAUUUCGGUAUGUAAAGCUCUAUCAGCAGGGAAGAAAUAGCGCCCUUUGGGUUGCCAGACGGUACCCGAUUAAGAAGCCCCGGCUAACUACGUGCCAGCAGCCGCGGUAAUACGUAGGGGGCAAGCGUUAUCCGGAUUUACUGGGUGGAAAGGGGGCGUAGACGGCAGCGCAAGUCUGAAGUGAAAUGCCGGGGCUUAACCCCGGAACUGCUUUGGAAACUGUGCAGCUAGAGUGCAGGAGAGGUAGGUGGAAUUCCUAGUGUAGCGGUGAAAUGCGUAGAUAUUAGGAGGAACACCAGUGGCGAAGGCGGCUUACUGGACUGUAACUGACGUUGAGGCUCGAAAGCGUGGGGAGCAAACAGGAUUAGAUACCCGGGUAGUC
rnacentral:rRNA from 1 species